UACGAAGGGGCUAGCGUUGUUCGGAAUUACUGGGCGUAAAGCGCACGUAGGCGGGUCUUUAAGUCAGGGGUGAAUCCUGGAGCUCAACUCCAGAACUGCCUUGAUACUGAGGAUCUUGAGUUCGGGAGAGGUGAGUGGAACUGCGAGUGUAGAGGUGAAAUUCGUAGAUAUUCGCAAGAACACCAGUGGCGAAGGCGGACUC
rnacentral:rRNA from 1 species